UCUGCUACAUGACCGGACAGAUGGAGUUAGAGAUAAUAAUGUUAAUUUCCCUUCUUCAUAUGACUAAUCAAAUCAUACCGAAAUCAAUAAGGAAAAUGCUACAAAAGACGAGACCAGUAAUUAUUAUAGAACACAAUUUGCUUCCAAGGAAACCAACAGAGCUUGGAUCAUCAAGCGAUUGCUAAUAGAUAGUACGUUUUAAUGACAAAUUGAUUCUGUUAAAGUAUAAAGUUCGCAAAAAAGGUCACGGGAGACAUUGAAUAAACUUGAAUAAACUAUGUUCGCAAAAAAUUGUUUCCGAUGAGUAACAUUAAAAAACCACACAGAGUACCAGUAAAAGUAUCUUGUAAAAUAUUUCAGCAGCCGAUAGAAACAUAUAACUUUCUUACAAACAGUGUUUACUUUCUUAAGGGUUGUAUACAGAUGUGUAAUCAAAGACAGAAAUACACGAUCUAUAAAAAAUCUAACAAAAGUUUAUAAAAUUACUAAAAGAAGCAUUCAUUACUAUUAUUACAUUCUUCACUAAAAUAAUGAAAACACUAUUACUAUCAAGUUUUUAUUUUAUCUACAUUUGCACUUUAUUGUGGAAAUAUAACGUAUGUCAUCAUGAAUGUUUAAACACAAUUUGAAAUAAAGGUUAAUUUCAGAACGACGCGAGAUUGCUGUUAGCCAAUCAAAAUAUCGUAUAAUAAUAAAACAUACAUCUUACGUUAUUAAAUGACAAUGAAAUCUCUUUUGAAAAUCAUAACAAUACUUGCAUUUAAAGAUUUAUUUUUUGUAUUGCCUCAGCACCGACAUUACCAACACCACCAAUGAAAGUCGCCUUUGCAGCUGGUCUCUCAACGACUAUUAACAGUCUAGGAUCACACCAAGCUAUCAAAUAUGAUGAAGUUAUUACGAAUGAAGGAAACGCAUAUGACGCCCGCCAUAGACACUUCACUGCGCCAAUGAAAGGGAUGUAUUUAAUAUCAGCUACCAUAACAGCAGCAGAAAGGAAAGUAUUCCCAUAGUGGUCAUAAACUUGAUGGAUCAACACACUCAUUUUAUAAUUGUUUUGCAGCUGUUCUUCUUUUCCCGUUGUGAAUGGUUAGGCAAAAAUAAAUAUCUUUGUACUUUAUUCUUCAUAACAUUAAUAUAGUUAUGA
rnacentral:lncRNA from 1 species